rnacentral:rRNA from 1 species
UGGGGAAUAUUGCACAAUGGACGGAAGUCUGAUGCAGCAACGCCGCGUGCGGGAUGACGGCCUUCGGGUUGUAAACCGCUUUCAAUUGUGACGAAGCUUUUUGUGACGGUAGCAGUAGAAGAAGCACCGGCUAACUACGUGCCAGCAGCCGCGGUGAUACGUAGGGUGCGAGCGUUGUCCGGAUUUAUUGGGCGUAAAGAGCUUGUAGGUGGUUUGUCGCGUCGGGAGUGAAAACUCAGGGCUUAACUCUGAGCUUGCUUUCGAUACGGGCUGACUUGAGGGAGGUAGGGGAGAAUGGAAUUCCUGGUGGAGCGGUGGAAUGCGCAGAUAUCAGGAGGAACACCGGUGGCGAAGGCGGUUCUCUGGACCUUUCCUGACGCUGAGAAGCGAAAGCGUGGGGAGCGAACAGGCUUAGAUACCCUGGUAGUCCACGCUGUAAACGGUGGGUACUAGGUGUGGGGGACAUUCCACGUUCUCCGUGCCGUAGCUAACGCAUUAAGUACCCCGCCUGGGGAGUACGGCCGCAAGGCUA